rnacentral:tRNA from 1 species
AAAGAAAUAUUUAUUAAAAGCUUCUAACUUUUUAUAGAGCAUUAAUUUGUUC